CUUGAGCGAACCGAGCCACAGCGGAUGGCCGGAGGUGCGGCCCUUGCCGUAGGUGGCGAGCAGCGCGCCCGCCUC
rfam:Streptomyces violaceusniger Tu 4113, complete genome.